UCAAAAUCCCUCUUGUCAUACUUACCUUGUUGCUUCCACUGGACUAGUUGGCAUUCUUAAUGUUUUAUAGAAUGUUGACUCUCGAGCGUCGUUUGGGGCUGGGGAGUGCCAGUGGAUAGCCCAAACUAAAAAACUCUUUUGUUUGAAAUUUGCUGAUUUGAGUCUGAAAAUGGUUGUCAAAAUCGAUAAAACUUUCAACAACGGAUCUCUAGGCUCUUGCAUCGAUGAAAAACGCAGUGAAAUGCGAUACGUAAUGUGAAUUGCAAAAUCUCGUGAAUCAUUGAAUCUUUGAACGCACAUUGCGCCCUAUGGUAUUCCGUAGGGCAUGCCUGUCUGAGUGUCAGCUUCCUUCCUCUCAAACGUCUGUUUCUCCUUUUUGGAGGAAGACUUUGGAUUACCUUGGACAAGCUAUGGUUACGUGAUAAUGGCUGUCCAGAAAAUCAUAGGCAGUAUGGGUGUUUUCCAGACUGAACGUAAUAAGAAACAAUCAAAAAGGACGUUUAUAUGGAGCCUUUGUACUUGCCUUCAACCCACACAUUCUUUUUUUGGGUCGACCUCAGAUCAGGUAGGGAUACCCGCUGAACUUAAGCAUAUC
rnacentral:rRNA from 1 species